rnacentral:rRNA from 1 species
GAUGAACGCUGGCGGCGUGCCUAAUACAUGCAAGUCGAGCGAACAGACGAGGAGCUUGCUCCUCUGACGUUAGCGGCGGACGGGUGAGUAACACGUGGAUAACCUACCCAUAAGACUGGGAUAACUUCGGGAAACCGGAGCUAAUACCGGAUAAUAUAUUGAACCGCAUGGUUCAAUAGUGAAAGACGGUUUUGCUGUCACUUAUAGAUGGAUCCGCGCCGCAUUAGCUAGUUGGUAAGGUAACGGCUUACCAAGGCAACGAUGCGUAGCCGACCUGAGAGGGUGAUCGGCCACACUGGAACUGAGACACGGUCCAGACUCCUACGGGAGGCAGCAGUAGGGAAUCUUCCGCAAUGGGCGAAAGCCUGACGGAGCAACGCCGCGUGAGUGAUGAAGGUCUUCGGAUCGUAAAACUCUGUUAUUAGGGAAGAACAAAUGUGUAAGUAACUAUGCACGUCUUGACGGUACCUAAUCAGAAAGCCACGGCUAACUACGU